AUGGUCAUGUUUUGGUGCUGCAUACAAGAAGUUACCUGCUCUGAGUUUUAUUUCAUGAAGCAUACUUCAAUCUUUGAUACAAGUGAAGAUGGUGUUAUUGUCAGACAUUAUUGGUUAUUGCUGAAGGAUUACAUUAAUCAUUUUUCACCAGGAUUGUUGUGUCAUCCGAGCAUUUUACUCUGUACGGGUAUGCCUCUUGGAAUCUCCCAAAUAAAAUUCCUACCUAUGCUCAUUUCAAUGGCGAUUUAUAGUUUAUACUAUGUAAUUCCUUCAAGUUUCUUUCAUAGAUUCAUAUUUUAUUAUGAUUAA
rnacentral:rRNA from 1 species